rnacentral:tRNA from 1 species
GCCUGGGUGGCUUAGUCGGUUAAGCGUCUGACUUCGGCUCAGGUCAUGAUCUCACAGUUUGUGGGUUUAAGCGCCGUAUCAGGCU